rnacentral:rRNA from 1 species
UCUCGGGCCCCAGUUGUAAUUUGUAGAGGAUACUUUUGAUGCGGUGCCUUCCGAGUUCCCUGGAACGGGACGCCAUAGAGGGUGAGAGCCCCGUCUGGUUGGAUGCCAAAUCUCUGUAAAGUUCCUUCAACGAGUCGAGUAGUUUGGGAAUGCUGCUCUAAAUGGGAGGUAUAUGUCUUCUAAAGCUAAAUACCGGCCAGAGACCGAUAGCGCACAAGUAGAGUGAUCGAAAGAUGAAAAGCACUUUGAAAAGAGAGUUAAAAAGUACGUGAAAUUGUUGAAAGGGAAGCGUUUAUGACCAGACUUGGGCUUGGUUAAUCAUCUGGGGUUCUCCCCAGUGCACUUUUCCAGUCCAGGCCAGCAUCAGUUUUCCCCGGGGGAUAAAGGCGGCGGGAAUGUGGCUCUCUUCGGGGAGUGUUAUAGCCCACCGUGUAAUACCCUGGGGGGGACUGAGGUUCGCGCAUCUGCAAGGAUGCUGGCGUAAUGGUCAUCAACGACCCGUCUUGAAACACGGACCAAGGAGUCGUCUUCGUAUGCGAGUGUUCGGGUGUCAAACCCCUACGCGUAAUGAAAGUGAACGCAGGUGAGAGCUUCGGCGCAUCAUCGACCGAUCCUGAUGUUCUCGGAUGGAUUUGAGUAAGAGCAUACGGGGCCGGACCCGAAAGAAGGUGAACUAUGCCUGUAUAGGGUGAAGCCAGAGGAAACUCUGGUGGAGGCUCGCAGCGGUUCUGACGUGCAAAUCGAUCGUCAAAUAUGGGCAUGGGGGCGAAAGACUAAUCGAACCUUCUAGUAGCUGGUUUCCGCCGAAGUU